GAUAAACGCUGGCGGCGUGCAUAAAACAUGCAAGUCGGACGAACAGUUUUCGGACUGUUAGUGGCGAACGGCUGAGUAACGCGUAAGUGACCUGCCCUUGAGUGGGGAAUAACUGCUCGAAAGAGUGGCUAAUACCGCAUAUGGUCCUGAUGUCGAAGUCAGGAGUAAAGCCGCAAGGCGCUCGAGGAUGGGCUUGCGUCCGAUUAGCUAGUUGGUGGGGUAAAGGCCUACCAAGGCGAUGAUCGGUAGCUGGUCUGAGAGGAUGAUCAGCCAGACUGGGACUGCGACACGGCCCAGACUCCUACGGGAGGCAGCAGUUAGGAAUUUUGCGCAAUGGCCGAAAGGCUGACGCAGCAACGCCGCGUGAGGGAUGAAGGUCUUCGGAUCGUAAACCUCUUUUCUUAGGGACGAUAAUGACGGUACCUGAGGAAUAAGCCCCGGCUAACUACGUGCCAGCAGCCGCGGUAAUACGUAGGGGGCGAGCGUUGUCCGGAUUUAUUGGGCGUAAAGAGCGCGUAGGCGGUUUGCCAAGUCUUGCGUUAAAUACCCUGGCUCAACUGGGGUGGGUCGUGGGAUACUGGUAGACUUGAGGCCGGUAGGGGGAAGUGGAAUUCCCGGUGUAGUGGUGGAAUGCGUAGAUAUCGGGAGGAACACCAGUGGCGAAGGCGGCUUCCUGGACCGGUCCUGACGCUGAGGCGCGAAAGCGUGGGGAGCGAACUGAAUUAGAUACUCAGGUAGUCCACGCUGUAAACGAUGGGUGCUAGGUGUCGGGGGUAUCGACCCCUCCGGUGCCGGAGCUAACGCAUUAAGCACCCCGCCUGGGGAGUACGGCCGCAAGGCUAA
rnacentral:rRNA from 1 species